AAAAUUCAGCUGCUGCCUCUGUCUUGAGGACCCCAGCGCCUUUCCCCCGGGGCCAUGCUGCCUGCAGCCACAGCCUCCCUCCUGGGGCCCCUCCUCACUGCCUGCGCCCUGCUGCCUUUUGCCCAGGGCCAGACCCCCAACUACACCAGACCCGUGUUCCUGUGCGGAGGGGAUGUGAAGGGGGAAUCAGGUUACGUGGCAAGUGAGGGGUUCCCCAACCUCUACCCCCCUAAUAAGGAGUGCAUCUGGACCAUAACGGUCCCCGAGGGCCAGACUGUGUCCCUCUCAUUCCGAGUCUUCGACCUGGAGCUGCACCCCGCCUGCCGCUACGAUGCUCUGGAGGUCUUCGCUGGGUCUGGGACUUCCGGCCAGCGGCUCGGACGCUUUUGUGGGACCUUCCGGCCUGCGCCCCUAGUCGCCCCCGGCAACCAGGUGGCCCUGAGGAUGACGACGGAUGAGGGCACAGGAGGACGAGGCUUCCUGCUCUGGUACAGCGGGCGGGCCACCUCGGGCACUGGGCCCCCCCCAGGCGCGAGGCGGAAAUGGGUCACCGACCCGCGGGUGGAAUGGGCGGCCUGGGGUUACUGGGACGGUGAGUAACUGCCCGCCCCCGUCCGCAAUCGGGCUCCCUCCGUCGGGCGCGAGGGGGCACCCCAGGGCUGGGGGGACUAGGUUCCUCCAACCCGGGGGGCCCCCUACACCCAGCCCUGGGCUCCCGAUUGCGGUCCCAUCACCCCCUCCUGGCGGCAGAAGUCUCCCUUGCAAUGUUUCAGGCGGGGACCUCCCUAAAGGGGGCCUCGGGGGCUGUGCCCCAAGUCGAGGACACCCUCUCCAGCCUGAAAGGGGACUCUGCUGCAGGGCCGGGGAGAUGGGAUCUCCUAGGGGAAGAGGCGCGGUGCGGCCGCGGGUCGGGGAGGGGCCAGAAGGGGGCGUCCAGCCAGUUCCUCCUCCCGCUUCCACCGCCCGCCAGUGCGCCCUGCGGCCCCAGACUUCCC
rnacentral:sRNA from 1 species